AAGUAGGGGAUCGCAAGACCUUGCGCUUUUGGAGCGGCCGAUGCCUGAUUAGCUAGUUGGUGGGGUAAUGGCCUACCAAGGCGACGAUCAGUAGUUGGUCUGAGAGGACGACCAGCCACACUGGGACUGAGACACGGCCCAGACUCCUACGGGAGGCAGCAGUGGGGAAUUUUGGACAAUGGGCGAAAGCCUGAUCCAGCGAUGCCGCGUGAGUGAAGAAGGCCUUCGGGUUGUAAAGCUCUUUCAGUCGAGAAGAAAAGGUUGUGACUAAUAAUCACAACUCAUGACGGUAUCGACAGAAGAAGCACCGGCUAACUACGUGCCAGCAGCCGCGGUAAUACGUAGGGUGCGAGCGUUAAUCGGAAUUACUGGGCGUAAAGGGUGCGCAGGCGGCUUUGUAAGUCAGAUGUGAAAUCCCCGGGCUUAACCUGGGAAUUGCGUUUGAAACUACAAAGCUAGAGU
rnacentral:rRNA from 1 species